rnacentral:sRNA from 1 species
AAGGAUUACAAGAUAAAGAUAAAU